rnacentral:rRNA from 1 species
AGUGAACGCUGGCGGUAGGCCUAACACAUGCAAGUCGAACGGCAGCACAGUAAGAGCUUGCUCUUACGGGUGGCGAGUGGCGGACGGGUGAGGAAUACAUCGGAAUCUACUUUUUCGUGGGGGAUAACGUAGGGAAACUUACGCUAAUACCGCAUACGACCUACGGGUGAAAGCAGGGGAUCUUCGGACCUUGCGCGAUUGAAUGAGCCGAUGUCGGAUUAGCUAGUUGGCGGGGGAAAGGCCCACCAAGGCGACGAUCCGUAGCUGGUCUGAGAGGAAGAUCAGCCACACUGGAACUGGGACACGGACCAGACUCCUACGGGAGGCAGCAGUGGGGAAUAUUGGACAAUGGGCGCAAGCCUGAUCCAGCCAUACCGCGUGGGUGAAGAAGGCCUUCGGGUUGUAAAGCCCUUUUGUUGGGAAAGAAAAGCAGCAGGUUAAUACCCCGCUGUUCUGACGGUACCCAAAGAAUAAGCACCGGCUAACUUCGUG